ACGGGGCUAAACCAUGCACCGAAGCUGCGGCAGCGACGCUGAUGCGUUGUUGGGUAGGGGAGCGUUCUGUAAGCCUGCGAAGGUGGCCUGUGAGGGUUGCUGGAGGUAUCAGAAGUGCGAAUGCUGACAUAAGUAACGAUAAAGCGGGUGAAAAGCCCGCUCGCCGGAAGACCAAGGGUUCCUGUCCAACGUUAAUCGGGGCAGGGUGAGUCGACCCCUAAGGCGAGGCCGAAAGGCGUAGUCGAUGGGAAACGGGUUAAUAUUCCCGUACUUGGUGUUACUGCGAAGGGGGGACGGAGAAGGCUAUGUUGGCCGGGCGACGGUUGUCCCGGUUUAAGCGUGUAGGUGUGUGUUCCAGGUAAAUCCGGUUCACUUUAACACUGAGGCGUGAUGACGAGGCACUACGGUGCUGAAGCAACAAAUGCCCUGCUUCCAGGAAAAGCCUCUAAGCAUCAGGUAACAUCAAAUCGUACCCCAAACCGACACAGGUGGUCAGGUAGAGAAUACCAAGGCGCUUGAGAGAACUCGGGUGAAGGAACUAGGCAAAAUGGUGCCGUAACUUCGGGAGAAGGCACGCUGACACGUAGGUGAAGUGAUUUACUCAUGGAGCUGAAGUCAGUCGAAGAUACCAGCUGGCUGCAACUGUUUAUUAAAAACACAGCACUGUGCAAACACGAAAGUGGACGUAUACGGUGUGACGCCUGCCCGGUGCCGGAAGGUUAAUUGAUGGGGUCAGCGCAAGCGAAGCUCCUGAUCGAAGCCCCGGUAAACGGCGGCCGUAACUAUAACGGUCCUAAGGUAGCGAAAUUCCUUGUCGGGUAAGUUCCGACCUGCACGAAUGGCGUAAUGAUGGCCAGGCUGUCUCCACCCGAGACUCAGUGAAAUUGAACUCGCUGUGAAGAUGCAGUGUACCCGCGGCAAGACGGAAAGACCCCGUGAACCUUUACUAUAGCUUGACACUGAACAUUGAGCCUUGAUGUGUAGGAUAGGUGGGAGGCUUUGAAGUGUGGACGCCAGUCUGCAUGGAGCCGGCCUUGAAAUACCACCCUUUAAUGUUUGAUGUUCUAACGUGGACCCGUGAUCCGGGUUGCGGACAGUGUCUGGUGGGUAGUUUGACUGGGGCGGUCUCCUCCUAAAGAGUAACGGAGGAGCACGAAGGUUGGCUAAUCCUGGUCGGACAUCAGGAGGUUAGUGCAAUGGCAUAAGCCAGCUUGACUGCGAGCGUGACGGCGCGAGCAGGUGCGAAAGCAGGUCAUAGUGAUCCGGUGGUUCUGAAUGGAAGGGCCAUCGCUCAACGGAUAAAAGGUACUCCGGGGAUAACAGGCUGAUACCGCCCAAGAGUUCAUAUCGACGGCGGUGUUUGGCACCUCGAUGUCGGCUCAUCACAUCCUGGGGCUGAAGUAGGUCCCAAGGGUAUGGCUGUUCGCCAUUUAAAGUGGUACGCGAGCUGGGUUUAGAACGUCGUGAGACAGUUCGGUCCCUAUCUGCCGUGGGCGCUGGAGAACUGAGGGGGGCUGCUCCUAGUACGAGAGGACCGGAGUGGACGCAUCACUGGUGUUCGGGUUGUCAUGCCAAUGGCACUGCCCGGUAGCUAAAUGCGGAAGAGAUAAGUGCUGAAAGCAUCUAAGCACGAAACUUGCCCCGAGAUGAGUUCUCCCUGAGACUUAGAGUCUCCUGAAGGAACGUUGAAGACGACGACGUUGAUAGGCCGGGUGUGUAAGCGCAGCGAUGCGUUGAGCUAACCGGUACUAAUGAACCGUGAGGCUUAACCUUACA
rnacentral:rRNA from 1 species